rnacentral:rRNA from 1 species
AGUGGCGAACGGGUGAGUAAUAUAUCGGAACGUGUCCAAUAAUGGGGGAUAACUAGUCGAAAGAUUGGCUAAUACCGCAUACGCCCUGAGGGGGAAAGUGGGGGAUCUUCGGACCUCACGUUAAUGGAGCGGCCGAUAUCUGAUUAGCUAGUUGGUGGGGUAAGAGCCUACCAAGGCGACGAUCAGUAGCUGGUCUGAGAGGAUGAUCAGCCACACUGGGACUGAGACACGGCCCAGACUCCUACGGGAGGCAGCAGUGGGGAAUUUUGGACAAUGGGGGCAACCCUGAUCCAGCCAUGCCGCGUGAGUGAAGAAGGCCUUCGGGUUGUAAAGCUCUUUCGCAAGGAAAGAAAACUUACUCAAUAACACUGGGUGAGGAUGACGGUACCUUGAUAAGAAGCACCGGCUAACUACGUGCCAGCAGCCGCGGUAAUACGUAGGGUGCAAGCGUUAAUCGGAAUUACUGGGCGUAAAGCGAGCGCAGGCGGUUUUGUAAGUCAGAUGUGAAAGCCCCGGGCUCAACCUGGGAACUGCGUUUGAAACUACAAGGCUAGAGUAUGGGAGAGGGAGGUAGAAUUCCACGUGUAGCAGUGAGAUGCGU